GGUUCAGGAGCGCAGUGGGUCAGUGCAUCUGGCUGUUAACCUGAAGGUUGGUGGUUCGAGCCCAACCAGGGUCA